GGCUCGUUGGUCAAGCGGAUAAGACAUUGCCCUUUCACGGCAGCAACAUGGGUUCAAAUCCCAUACGAGUCA
rnacentral:tRNA from 1 species